GCAUAGCAAUAAGCGGAGGAAAAGAAACUAACAAGGAUUCCCUUAGUAACGGCGAGUGAAGCGGGAAGAGCUCAAAUUUGAAAUCUUCAAGGUUCUACCUUGACGAAUUGUAGUUUAAAGAAGUGUUUUCUGUUAGAUGAGUAGCAAAAGUUCCUUGGAAUGGGACAUCAUAGAGGGUGAGAAUCCCGUAUUUGGUUAUUCAUUCUAGCUUUGUGAUACACUUUCAAAGAGUCGGAUUGUUUGGGAAUGCAGUCCAAAAUGGGUGGUAAAUUUCAUCUAAAGCUAAAUAUUGGCGAGAGACCGAUAGCGAACAAGUACCGUGAGGGAAAGAUGAAAAGAACUUUGAAAAGAGAGUUAAACAGUACGUGAAAUUGUCAAAAGGGAAGCGUUUGACACCAGUGUUGUUUUUCCGAAAAUCAAUUACGAAUGGCUUGAUUUUGUGUUGUAUUGACCUUAUCAGCUUUCUGCACUUUUUUCGAGUCUUUCUUAAUGCACUUUUCGGUUAACAAGUCAACAUCAAUUUCUUUUGUUGUAAAAGAGUAUUCGGAAGGUGGCUUUCUUUUCGGAGAAAGUGUUUAUAGCCCUAUACUUCUACAAUCGGAGAGAUUGAGGUCUGCAGCGUAGAUCCUUCGGGGUUAGAUACACUUGUGCUAAGUUGUAGCUUUUCAUAGACAACUUGUUGGCUAUGUUUAGUCAUGCGGCUUACUCGCUUGUGCUAUUUUACCUACGCUUAGGAUGUUGACAAAAUGGUUUUAAACGACCCGUCUUGAAACACGGACC
rnacentral:rRNA from 1 species